GACGGAAGGUGCAAGCGUUGCUCGGAAUCAUUGGGCGUAAAGCGCGCGUAGGCGGCCCCGUAAGUCCGCUGUGAAAGUCAAAGGCUCAACCUUUGAAAGCCGGUGGAAACUGUGGGGCUAGAGUCCGGAAGAGGCGAGUGGAAUUCCUGGUGUAGCGGUGGAAUGCGCAGAUAUCAGGAGGAACACCAAUGCGAAGGCAGCUCGCUGGGACGUGACUGACGCUGAGACGCGAAAGCGUGGGGAGCAAACAGG
rnacentral:rRNA from 1 species